AGAUCCUGCUAGAGGACACGUCCUAGAACCGACAACACCCGUUUAACCUCACCUUUCCUUGUUUUUUUCCGCCUAUAUACCACCGUCGUAAGCUGACCCUUUGAGGGGCCCGUAGUAAGCUAAACUGCACAGCCCAGAACGUCAGGUCGAGGUGUAGUGUAUGGAAAGGGAAGAGACGCGUCCCAAUUUCUAAUAAAGAAUCCCCGAUAGCAUGCUGAAACACAUGUUUUAUAAAGUAGAAUUUAGCAGU
rnacentral:rRNA from 1 species